GGAAGUGUGGCAGAGUGGUCGAAUGCAACGGUCUUGAAAACCGUCAGGCGUGAGAGCGUCUCGUGGGUUCGAAUCCCACCACUUCCUCCA
rnacentral:tRNA from 1 species